rnacentral:misc_RNA from 1 species
UUUCCGUAGGUGAACCUGCGGAAGGAUCAUUACUGAGUGAGGGCCCCUCGGGGUCCAACCUCCCACCCGUGUUUAACGAACCUUGUUGCUUCGGCGGGCCCGCCUCACGGCCGCCGGGGGGCAUCUGCCCCCGGGCCCGCGCCCGCCGAAGCCACCUGUGAACGCUGUUUGAAGUAUGCAGUCUGAGACAAUUAUUAAAUUAAUUAAAACUUUCAACAACGGAUCUCUUGGUUCCG